GCCCUGCCCGCACCGCAGAGGUGGCCGGGAGGAGCCGAGGACGAGGCUGGUGUUUUUCCCCUCUGCUACUCCUGGCACCGCCAAAAAUAAAAAUAACAACAAUGAUAACCAGAACAGGGGGUGCCCUGCCCCCCAGCAAAGCAAGAUCACCGGGUAAGAAAAGGUAGGCCUCCGGGCGCCUCCCGAGCAGCCGUGCAAACCCCAGCUGAACAGGCAGCCGCCGGGCAGCGGCAAACGUGCGUUUUGUUAUGAUCUCUGCACGGUGGAUUUGGAUCUUAAAAAUAAAUGGGCUUGGCCUCUGCCUCUGCCCGGCAGUUCUGGCAGAAACCGCUUGAUGGUGUGCACGCCUGUGUGUGUGUGUGUGUGUGUGUGUGUGUGUGUGUGUGUGCGUGCGUGCGUGUGCGUGUGUGUGUGUGUGUGUGUGUGUGCGUGUGUGUGUGCGUGUGUGUGUGUGGCGGGGGAGGCUGAAACAGAAUUUGGGGUUUCAGAUAAACCAAUUAGAGGAGGAGAUGAACAGGCGUAAGCACAAGAUGGCCCCAGGCUGCCUCCGGCAGGAGGAGGAGAGAAGGAGACUUACCGGGUGCCGGGCAUGGAGAUGACCCCCUGCCCUGGCCGGUCACCCUGGCAGCGGGGGGAGGGCCAAGACGAUGCUGGAAGCCAGGCAGCCAUGGACAAAGAAGAGAGGGCGGAAUGUCACCUGUCCCCCAGGACCCUCACACAUCCUUCAGUGUCACCAGAGCCGCCACCAUGGGGAGGGACAGCCCUUGCUCCUGUGCCCCAGCCUCUGCCCAGCUCUGCUGAAGUCCAACAUGCCCCCUGCCCUGUCCACAGGCAUCCUGCAAGGGCCACCAGGCCAGCCAGGCCUCGACUCGCCCUCUGUGUGAUGCCAGCUGUACUCACACAGGACAGACAGCCUGGGCUGUGGGAAGUGGCACCCAGCAGCCGUGCCCCCCUCCGGGACGUGAGGUGUGGCAGGGCCAGCUGUGUGCCAAGGGAAUGGUGGGCGGCUCCCCAUGGAGGCUUGCACAUCUGUACCCCUUAGGGCCUUCUGUGCCUGAUGCCAGGUAAAGGACAGCCGGGCAGAUGACCCUAAACCACCAGAGCCUCUUAGGUGGGCGCUUGGGCCAGCUGGGUUGUGUCCUACCCUAACACCACUCGGUGCCUGCUUGGAAAGCCCGGGUGGGGGUGGAGGAGGCGGAAGAGAGCAGACGGGAGGAACCCGGCCCUGCACUGGGCUCACGCACCCGGCCACGUGACUGCUUGCCAGCUGACGCCACAGACAAAGCAGGUAGGAUUCCGAUGCCAUGAGCUUGACCAGGGACGCCGGGGACCUGUGCCAGGCAUAGCUGGGCAGGGCUGCCAAGAACCCAACCCAGGAGGAUCGGGUCCCACUCCAGGGAGCAGGUCUGUCCCCCAGUCUGUGUGGUUGGGGACGGGAUCACCACUACCCGUGGGGUGGUUUCACAGGGGCCUGCGGGGUCAGCAGAGGCGCUGGCCCAGGUCAGGGCUGCAGGAGGGGCGCCCCCACCCCUGUGCCGCCAAGACCAUGCGCAGCCAUUGCCGUGUCCGGGACGGCCUUGUUCCCACAGGUGACCCUUGGGGACUCCAGCCAGAACCACCUCGGGCAGAUGGGGUGGGCACACCCCACACUCACCCGAAGCUCCUCCCUCUGUGGGACCUGUGGGAGCCUGCAGCCUGGCUCCCUCCUUGUAUUAUAAUUUAAAAUGUAAUUAUAAAAGCCUGAUUCGAAUGUAAAUCUAUCUUGCUUAAACACAUGAAAGGCAUUUCUAAAUUUAAGAGGCCCAAAUCAGCAGGUAAAUAUUUUAGUGAAACGCUCUUCCUGACAUCUGAAAUCUCCGAGGAAAGGGAAGGCAGGCCACCGGAAAACUGUCCAGGCACCAGCAAGCCGGCACCAAGGCACAGCACCUCCUUUAACCUGGAGGAAAAAACCCGAUUCUUCAGAUGUAGACGGCCAGGCCUUUUUACUCUGUACACCUCCUGAGCACAUUUUACAAACCCACCUCCUGAUUCCACGACACUUCUGGGCACAUCUCUGCUCAGUCACCCUCCCAGGCCCUGCGUGGACAGGGCGUCCCAGGCACCUGAGGACAGGGGCGUCUGGGCCACGGGGAGAGGGAGACCUGGAAUCCAGGCUCCCACCGAAGUUUCCAAUCCACAGGAUGCCAAGACCAAGCUGCCCUCCAUCUUGGAGCCCCUCACACACAGAUCAAAUACAAGGCUGUGUACUAGGUUUUUCUGGCUCAUGGCACAAGAUUUCAUUGUUUUCCAUGAUUCUCAUUUGGCCAGUUCACCCCACAGCCUCCCAGGCUGUCAGGACACCCCCAAAAGGGAACACAUGGCCCUGCAUUUAGAAAUAAAGUAAAAGAUACGAUGGCCAUUAAAAAAUCAUAAAAUCUUAUUUUGAAAACAAAUAUUAUCGUUCGCCAACAAAGUCUUCUGGAUGACCAAGAGGUGCCACUGAGAGGUCACACUCACCAUCAGUAGGACCCUCCCUGUCUGUCCUCCUGCACUGGCCUGGCGGGGACAUCUCGACCGAGGACCGCCUAUGCUGGCAGUGUCACAGCCAGGAUUCCUGUGGCCUUCCCACAACGCCGCUGGGCCCUGGCAGCAGGGCAGCCCACGGGCAGUCACCCCAGCUCCGUCUGUAACAAGAACCCGUGAGCCGGGCUCCUAGCCUGGCCACUUCGGGUGCCCACAGCUAGAGGCAGGUCUAGCUCGGUCCCCAGGCCCACACCACAUCAGCGCAGGCCUCAGGGCAGAAUCCACUCACUCGGUGAGGUCAGGACCCAUCCGUCCAGCGUCCCCCCGCUGGUUGUCCUUGCCAAAAGACACAGAAACACCUUGUGCAGCUGGAAAGGUGUCUAAGGGCCAUGCAGUCCCGCUGGCCCUCACAGUCACCCAUCGGAGCACAUGAUUUGGGGUGGACCAAAUGACUCUAGGAAACCUCCCCGUGGCCCUGCGGGGCCGGCCCUCUGCGGAUCCGCCCUUCCUCUUCCAUUUUGUGACCCUGCUGGUAGACAAAGGCCGCCAAGCCUCGGCCCUGUGGCCCAAAACCUGGCCAUCUCUCCAGGACUCGGAGCCUUUAAAAAAAAAAAUUGCAGAAGAAAAAAACUUGUGAAAGUUUAACCUCCACUCAACAAAGAAAGCCAGAUGUGCCCACGGAAAUUUCCCAGGAGCCACUCGGGUCAGGGGCUUUCUGUUUUCUUCCAUAAAUCUCUGACUAGGUGUCCAGGGCCUGCAAUGCCCAGACCCCGGGGUUCCACCGAUUGUCCUGGCCAACGGGACACCGGUCAGCCCUGAAAAUAAAUAUUUCAUAUAAAAGAUCCAUUGUGU